rnacentral:tRNA from 2 species
GCGUCCUUAGCUCAGCUGGAUAGAGCAAUGCCCUUCUAAGGCAUCGGUCUGGGGUUCGAAUCCCUAAGGGCGUACCA